rnacentral:tRNA from 8 species
GCCUUGGUAGCUCAGCCUGGCCAGAGCGUUGCCUUGGUAAGGCAAAGGUCGCGGGUUCAAUUCCCGCCCAAGGCU